rnacentral:rRNA from 1 species
CAGUCGCCGCGGUAAUACGAAGAGGGCUAGCGUUGUUCGGAUUUACUGGGCGUAAAGCGCACGUAGGCGGACUUUUAAGUCAGGGGUGAAAUCCCGGGGCUCAACUCCGGAACUGCCUUUGAUACUGGGAGUCUUGAGUUCGAGAGAGGUGAGUGGAAUUGCGAGUGUAGAGGUGAAAUUCGUAGAUAUUCGCAAGAACACCAGUGGCGAAGGCGGCUUACUGGUCCGGAACUGACGCUGAGGUGCGAAAGCGUGGGGAGCAAACAGGAUUAGAUACCCCUGUAGUCCCUGUCUCUUAUAU